UGUCACUUUUGUCCUGGGAUGAGGACGACUACCUUUGUUAUUUUCUCCUACACUUUUCUGUGUUAGAAAUUGAACUACCAAGAAUGAAUAACUUAUACCUUUGUGAAUUUUGAAAACAUCAAAUGAUAUGCUACCCAACAAGUAUGGUGUGAGAUGUUAAAAUUUUUUUUUGUUUGUUUUUUAGAGACAGGGUUUCUCUGUAUUGUUUUGGAGCCUGUCCUGGAAUUUUCUUGGUAGACCAGGCUGGCCUUGAAUUCACAGAGAUCAGCCUGCCUCUGCCUCCCGAGUGCUGGGAUUAAAGGUGUGCACUGGCCAAUCUCCUGUGAGAAUUUAUAAUGUAAUUCUCACAUUAGAUUGGUGGGCGUCCAUUUUAUAGUUGAAGAAAUGGAGACUUGCCUAUCUUCUUGCCCUUGGAGAUGCUAGGCCACUCAAAUGAAGAUGACAUCAAGAUUUAAACUUAGGACUGUCCAAUUUGGGUGCUCACUUUUCUCCACCACUUUAUGGUGGGUGCUGGCUGUGUUGUGGUUCAGAGGGAGUGGCAGGUGGUGAGCAAGGGUGACAACUCAUUGCUUUUGGAAUGGAAAGAGGACUAGGUUUCUGAUGAAGUAAAGACCAAAUGACUCAGGGUGUGGCUGAACAUUUGAAUCCAAGAUAAAUAGAUCUGUGUAUGAAAGGUGCUCGAAGCAUGCCUGGAUAGAAAGCUCUUUGUCUUCCAAGUUACUUCUGAAGGAGGAAGGGGAGAUAGGUUGUGAUAGCUCCCACAGAAGAUAAGAUGUUGGCCCCUUAAUCAUUCUCAAGGGUAUGGUGGACAUCAGUCCAUGGCAGAAGGUUGACUACUUGUCUCUCCGUGUCUCUGGGCAUCUGAAGAUGGUUGAGGUUGGUCAAGUUUGGUG